rnacentral:rRNA from 1 species
AAGUAAAAGUCGUAACAAGGUCUCCGUUGGUGAACCAGCGGAGGGAUCAUUACAGGGUCUAACGACUACCCAAACCAAACCGUGAACCUUUUUUUCCACAAGCAUGAUGCCGCGGCGGGUCGCUCGCUGGGGGAGCCCCGGGCCGCGGAAACGCGGUGGCUCGCCGAAGGCAUCCCUCUCCAAACAUGAGAAGAACUUUCUGAAAGCAUCUCCGCAGGGAGAAACGAAAAUUGAGUCACAACUCACAACAAUGGAUCUCUUGGCUCUGGCAUCGAUGAAGAACGCAGCGAAAUGCGAUAAGUAAUAUGAAUUGCAGAAUUCAGCGAAUCAUCGAGUUUUUGAACGCACAUUGCGCCCUCUGGUAUUCCGGAGGGCAUGUCCGACCGAGCGUCGCGUCGCCGCCCAAGCCCCCCGGGCUUGGUGUUGGGGCCUGCCCGAGACAUCCCUCGGGCAGCCCCUAAAUGCAACGGCUGCCCUCCCGGUGCGGCUCCCCUAGCGCAGUACGAGACCUACUACGGGCUACGCUUCGGGACGCGCGGGAGGUGGCCACCAGCCUGCAAGACCUUCGAGUCGCAACCCCCCCAAAAGGUUGACCUCGGGUCGGACAAGAUUACCCGCUGAACUUA